rnacentral:rRNA from 1 species
CGGCGGACGGGUGAGUAACACGUGGAUAACCUACCUAUAAGACUGGGAUAACUUCGGGAAACCGGAGCUAAUACCGGAUAAUAUAUUGAACCGCAUGGUUCAAUAGUGAAAGACGGUUUUGCUGUCACUUAUAGAUGGAUCCGCGCCGCAUUAGCUAGUUGGUAAGGUAACGGCUUACCAAGGCAACGAUGCGUAGCCGACCUGAGAGGGUGAUCGGCCACACUGGAACUGAGACACGGUCCAGACUCCUACGGGAGGCAGCAG